rnacentral:lncRNA from 1 species
AGAUGAUACCAUGUGAAAGAAAGUCACAAGCCAACAGAAACAAUUUUGUUGAAAUAUAUAUCAGGCAUUAGUUUUCACCAAAAACCUUAAAAUCUUGUUAUUUUUUUUUACCAAGGUCAAUAGAAUCUUUAGCUCUUAGUGUUGAGCCUUAUAAGUUGGACCAGCGACUGGAUGGCUUUUCCUUCAGUCUCUGCUCUAUUUUUGUCCCUGCAUUUGUUUUAGACAGGAACAGUUUUGAAGGUGAUUACCUCUACUUUUAUGACUAGCUAUGAAGUAUUUUUUUCCCAUUAGUAUUUUUGAAUGACUGGGGUCUUAAAAAAAAUGAAGGGCAAAUAACACUGUGAAAUGAUUCUGUCUUGACAAAAAGAUGAUUAUUGUUCUGUGGUCUUCUAAUACUUUUAGAAUCAUCAAUAUUCUUUUAUAAUAUUCAAUGACCAACAUGAAGGGAGACUUAGACAGGUCUAAAACCAAUAUUAGUAUUAUUAAUUUAAUUAAUAAGGAAUAUUUGUCAAAAUACUUUUAGAUUUACUUCUCAGUUUUCCCUUUUUAAUUAAAGUAUGCUAAGAAUUUGUUAUAAACGAGUCUUUUUACUUUCUUACUUAAUUUUUUGAGAAUUUCUGCACCCUGGCAUCCCAGUUGGGUGUAGGCAAUGACCUUUUAGCCUCUCAUCAAGAACCUGGUAACACAGCUCCCACUGAGAAGUCACUGGGAUGUCUGCCAGUCUCUCACAUCUGUGGUCAGGCCUGUGCUUCUUGAGCAUGCAAAUCCCUGGUGGCAAAAUCCUUCAGGAACAGUCACUAGCACCACUGUCUCCUUUUUCCUAACAUGGGGAAUUCAACAUCACAUGAGAGGGAUUUCCAAAUCAAGAGGACUCCCCAAAAGAGGGCCUAGAUUUCUGGAGUGAGGUGUGCAGAGAAAUGUCACGAGGAGACAGCAUUGACCGUUUAUGAAUGUUGCUCCCAUAAACACACUUAUUGAAUGUGUACCUUAUGGCAAAAAUCCUUUAGAAGGUGAAGUAAAAAAAAUAAAAAUAAAAAAUAAAAUAAAAUCAAUGUGGAGAAAUGGCGUGAGGUGACUGCUCCCAGCUUGCUAGUUGCUGGCCAUGAAGGAUUUGUGUUCAUCUCAGCACACUAAGAUAAAGGGCAGGCAGACUGUCUCAAGCAGAGGAUCCUGGUGCUGUGCCAAGAAAGCUGCAGACCCGAGGAAGUGGCCGUCCCGUUUCUUUACUCAUGAGAAAUAACUUUAUUUAUGGUUUAAUUAGGUAUCACACCAAAGAGUUGAACUGCAGACAGGUUUCUCAGUCUGCAAGGACUUUCAGGUCUCUUUGAACCAAGACAAGCUGUUGCUAAGUAAACAGCACCUGGUGGGAAUGAGAAACCAUGGGAAAUCUUUAUUCUGCUUUCUGUAUAAAAGAUGCUGGAAUACUCAAUAAACUAUGCAUUGGCCUUCUGUGCA